rnacentral:rRNA from 1 species
AGAGUUUGAUCAUGGCUCAGAAUCAACGCUGGCGGCGCGCCUAACACAUGCAAGUCGCACGAGAAAGCGGGAGCAAUCUCGCAAGUACAGUGGCGUACGGGUGAGUAACACGUGGAUCAUCUACCCUGGAGUGGGGAAUAACGCUGGGAAACCGGCGCUAAUACCGCAUAUUCCUGAGAGGGGAAAGCAGCAAUGCGCUCGAGGAGGAGUCCGCGGCCGAUUAGCUAGUUGGUAGGGUAAAAGCCUACCAAGGCUGUGAUCGGUAGCCGGCCUGAGAGGGCACACGGCCACACUGGCACUGAAACACGGGCCAGACUCCUACGGGAGGCAGCAGUGGGGAAUCUUGCACAGUGGGGGAAACCCUGAUGCAGCGACGCCGCGUGAGCGAUGAAGCCCUUCGGGGUGUAAAGCUCUUUCGGCAGGGAAGAUUAUGACGGUACCUGCAGAAGCAGCUGCGGCUAACUACGUGCCAGCAGCCGCGGUAAUACGUAGGCAGCAAGCGUUGUUCGGAGUUACUGGGCGUAAAGGGUGUGUAGGCGGCCUGUUAAGUUCCGUGUGAAAUCUCCCGGCUCAACCGGGAGGGUGCGCGGAAAACUGGCGGGCUAGAGUGCGGGAUGGGAGAGUAGAAUUCCUGGUGUAGCGGUGAAAUGCGUAGAUAUCAGGAGGAAUACCGGUGGUGUAGACGGCUCUCUGGACCGCAACUGACGCUGAAACACGAAAGCGUGGGUAGCAAACAGGAUUAGAUACCCUAGUAGUCC